rnacentral:rRNA from 1 species
AGGACGAACGCUGGCGGCGUGCCUAACACAUGCAAGUCGAACGGGGCCCGCAAGGGUUCAGUGGCGAACGGGUGCGUAACACGUGAAGAACUUGUCCAUCGGCGGGGGAUAGCCGGCCCAACGGCCGGGUAAUACCGCGUACGUUCUUCGAGGGGCAUCCCUUGAAGAGGAAAGCAGCAAUGCACCGAUGGAGAGCUUCGCGGCCUAUCAGCUUGUUGGCGGGGUAAUGGCCCACCAAGGCAACGACGGGUAGCUGGUCUGAGAGGAUGAUCAGCCACAUUGGGACUGAGACACGGCCCAGACUCCUACGGGGGGCAGCAGUGAGGAAUUUUCCGCAAUGGACGCAAGUCUGACGGAGCAACGCCGCGUGCAGGAUGACGGCCUUGGGUUGUAAACUGCUUUUCUGUGAGACGAGAACGGACGGUAUCACAGGAAUCAGCCCCGGCUAACUACGUGCCAGCAGCCGC